rnacentral:rRNA from 1 species
AGAGUUUGAUCCUGGCUCAGAGUGAACGCUGGCGGCGUGCUUUACACAUGCAAGUCGAACGGUAACAGCAGUACUUGUACUGGCUGACGAGUGGCGAACGGGUGAGUAAUGUAUAGUUAAUUUGCCUCUUGGAGAGGGAUAGCCAUUGGAAACGAUGAUUAAUACCUCAUACUCCUUAUCCAGUAAAUGGAUAAGGGAAAUGCUUUUGUGCCAAGAGAUAAGACUAUAUGGUAUCAGGUAGUUGGUGGGGUAAUAGCCUACCAAGCCGAUGACGCCUAGCUGGUUUGAGAGGAUGAUCAGCCACACUGGAACUGAGACACGGUCCAGACUCCUACGGGAGGCAGCAGUGGGGAAUAUUGCACAAUGGAGGAAACUCUGAUGCAGCAACGCCGCGUGGAUGAUGAAGGCCUUAGGGUCGUAAAAUCCUGUCAGAUGGGAAGAAAUGCAUGGGGGAAUAAUACCUCUUAUGUUUGACGGUACCAUCAAAGGAAGCACCGGCUAACUCCGUGCCAGCAGCCGCGGUAAUACGGAGGGUGCAAACGUUACUCGGAAUCACUGGGCGUAAAGCGCGCGCAGGCGGCUUGAUAAGUUGGAUGUGAAAGCCUACGGCUCAACCGUAGAACUGCAUCCAAAACUGUCAAGCUAGAGUGUGGGAGAGGAAGAUGGAAUUAGUUGUGUAGGGGUAAAAUCCGUAGAGAUAACUAGGAAUACCAAAAGCGAAGGCAAUCUUCUGGAACACUACUGACGCUGAGGCGCGAAAGCGUGGGGAGCAAACAGGAUUAGAUACCCUGGUAGUCCACGCAGUAAACGAUGAAUGUUAGUCGUUGGGUCUCUAGUAGAUUCAGUGAUGCAGUUAACACAUUAAACAUUCCGCCUGGGGAGUACGGUCGCAAGAUUAAAACUCAAAGGAAUAGACGGGGACCCGCACAAGUGGUGGAGCAUGUGGUUUAAUUCGAAGAUACGCGAAGAACCUUACCUAGCCUUGACAUACUAAAGAACACACCAGAGAUGGAGUGGUGCCUUCGGGAGCUUUAAUACAGGUGCUGCACGGCUGUCGUCAGCUCGUGUCGUGAGAUGUUGGGUUAAGUCCCGCAACGAGCGCAACCCUCGUCACUAGUUACUAACGAUUCGGUCGAGGACUCUAGUGAGACUGCCUUCGUAAGGAGGAGGAAGGUGAGGACGACGUCAAGUCAUCAUGGCCCUUACGGCUAGGGCAACACACGUGCUACAAUGGUUAGGACAAUGAGAGGCGAUACUGCGAGGUGGAGCAAAUCUAUAAACCUAAUCUCAGUUCGGAUUGUAGUCUGCAACUCGACUACAUGAAGCUGGAAUCACUAGUAAUCGUAGAUCAGCUAUGCUACGGUGAAUACGUUCCCGGGUCUUGUACUCACCGCCCGUCACACCAUGGGAGUUGAUUUCACCCGAAGCGGGGAAGCUAAACUGGCUACCCUCCACGGUGGAAUUAGCGACUGGGGUGAA